rnacentral:lncRNA from 1 species
AGAAAGGGAGAAACGGAAAGAAACAAAGAAGAGGAAAGAGAAAAGAGAGAAAAAAGGAAAGAUAAGAGGAAAGAGAGAAGAGGAAAAAGAAAAGAGGAAAGAGAAAAGAAAGAGAGUCAGGCAGAGAAGAGGAAGAGAAGGAAGAAAGAGGGUGAGUGAGCAGAGAGAAAAUUCAGUGAGCCACACAUAUUGUAAACACUAUUGUAGCCAUAUUAUUUUAUAUAGUGAAAAGUUACUGCUGCUGCUCUUCGAGGACGUAGGCAUAGCCGAACCUCGUUAAAUACUGUGUCUCAUCUACUUUACGUGCAGCUCAAUAUUCGCACAUAUCCCCGUUAUUUUAUAACACGCUAGUGAUUAUGCUCCAUAAUUAUUUUUGGGU